rnacentral:rRNA from 1 species
UACAGAGGGUGCGAGCGUUGUUCGGAAUUACUGGGCGUAAAGCGCGCGUAGGCGGCCUGCUAAGUCGAACGUGAAAUCCCUGGGCUCAACCCAGGAACUGCGUCCGAUACUGGUUGGCUUGAAUCCGGGAGAGGGAUGUGGAAUUCCAGGUGUAGCGGUGAAAUGCGUAGAUAUCUGGAGGAACACCGGUGGCGAAGGCGACAUCCUGGACCGGUAUUGACGCUGAGGCGCGAAAGCCAGGGGAGCAAACGGG